rnacentral:rRNA from 1 species
CAGUCGCCACGGGAAUACGGAGGGUGCAAGCGUUAAUCGGAAUUACUGGGCGUAAAGCGCACGCAGGCGGUCUGACAAGUCAGAUGUGAAAUCCCCGGGCUUAACCUGGGAACUGCAUUUGAAACUGUCAGGCUGGAGUCUUGUAGAGGGGGGUGGAAUUCCAGGUGUAGCGGUGAAAUGCGUAGAGAUCUGGAGGAAUACCGGUGGCAAAGGCGGCCCCCUGGACAAAGACUGACGCUCAGGUGCGAAAGCGUGGGGAGCAAACAGGAUUAGAUACCCGCGUAGUCCCUGUCUCUUAUAC